UGAACGCUGGCGGCGUGCCUAACACAUGCAAGUCGAGCGAGAUACGCUCAAACAGAGAUUCGUCAACGGGAGAGCGUGGACAGCGGCGGACGGGUGAGUAACGCGUAGGUAACCUGCCUUAGGCUGAGGGAUAGCCCGGGGAAACCUGGAUUAAUACCACAUAAUGCGGAGGAGUCACAUGGCUCUUUCGCCAAAGAUUUAUCGGCCUAAGAUGGACCUGCGUCUGAUUAGAUAGUUGGUGAGGUAACGGCCCACCAAGUCAACGAUCAGUAGCCGACCUGAGAGGGUGAUCGGCCACAUUGGAACUGAGACACGGUCCAAACUCCUACGGGAGGCAGCAGUGGGGAAUAUUGCACAAUGGGGGAAACCCUGAUGCAGCAACGCCGCGUGAGCGAAGAAGGUCUUCGGAUUGUAAAGCUCUGUCCUUGGGGACGAACGAUGACGGUACCCAAGGAGGAAGCCCCGGCUAACUACGUGCCAGCCGCCGC
rnacentral:rRNA from 1 species